AUCCCAUGAUGUGGUUACUUCCUUAACAAUUCCUUAAACAUCUCCCAUGUAUCAUAUAAAGUCUCUGACUCCAUUUGACAGAAGAAAGAGAUAUCAUUCCUCAUCUU